GAAACGACUGCUAAGACUGGAUAGGAAGAUAAAAGGCAUCUUUUAUCUUUUAAAAGACCUAGUAAUAGGUAUGCUUUAGGAGGGGCUUGCGCCAUAUUAGUUAGUUGGUAGGGUAAUGGCCUACCAAGACGAUGAUGUGUAGCUGGACUGAGAGGUUGAACAGCCACAUUGGGACUGAGACACGGCCCAAACUCCUACGGGAGGCAGCAGUAGGGAAUUUUCGGCAAUGGAGGAAACUCUGACCGAGCAACGCCGCGUGAAUGACGAAGUACUUCGGUAUGUAAAGUUCUUUUAUCAAGGAAGAAAAGCAAAUGGCGAACCAUUUGUUUGCCGGUACUUGAUGAAUAAGCCCCGGCUAAUUAUGUGCCAGCAGCCGCGGUAAGACAUAAGGGGCAAGUGUUAUCCGGAAUUAUUGGGCGUAAAGGGUGCGUAGGCGGUCUAGUAAGUCAGUGGUGUAAUGGCAACGCUUAACGUUGUCCGGCUAUUGAAACUGCUAAACUUGAGUUAGAUAGAGGCGAGUGGAAUUCCAUGUGUAGCGGUAAAAUGCGUAAAUAUAUGGAGGAACACCAGAGGCGUAGGCGGCUCGCUGGGUCUUAACUGACGCUGAGGCACGAAAGCGUGGGGAGCAAACAGGAUUAGAUACCCUGGUAGUCCACGCCGUAAACGAUGAGUACUAAGUGUCGGGUUAAACCGGUACUGAAGUUAACACAUUAAGUACUCCGCCUGAGUAGUACGUACGCAAGUAUGAAACUUAAAGGAAUUGACGGGACUCCGCACAAGCGGUGGAUCAUGUUGUUUAAUUCGAAGAUACCCGAAAAACCUUACCAGGUCUUGACAUGUUUUUGCAAAAUGAUAGUAAUAUCGUGGAGGUUACCAGAAACACAGGCGGUGCAUGGUUGUCGUCAGCUCGUGUCGUGAGAUGUUAGGUUAAGUCCUAAAACGAGCGAAACCCUUAUCGUUAGUUGCCAGCACGUUAUGGUGGGGACUUUAACGAGACUGCCAAUGAUAAAUUGGAGGAAGGUGAGGAUCACGUCAAAUCAGCAUGCCCCUUAUGACCUGGGCUACAAACGUGAUACAAUGGCUGUUACAAAGGGUAGCUGAAACGCAAGUUCUUGGCCAAUCCCCAAAAACAGUCCCAGUCCGGAUUGAAGUCUGCAACUCGACUUCAUGAAGUUGGAAUCGCUAGUAAUCGCGAAUCAGCAUGUCGCGGUGAAUACGUUCUCGGGUUUGUACACACCGCCCGUCA
rnacentral:rRNA from 1 species